rnacentral:rRNA from 1 species
CACGUAGGGUGCGAGCGUUGUCCGGAAUUAUUGGGCGUAAAGAGCUCGUAGGCGGUGUGUCGCGUCGGCCGUGAAAACCUGCAGCUUAACUGUGGGCUUGCGGUCGAUACGGGCAUCACUGGAGUUCGGCAGGGGAGACUGGAAUUCCCGGUGUAGCGGUGAAAUGCGCAGAGAUCGGGAGGAACACCCGUAGCGAAGGCGGCACUCUGGGCCGGUACUGACGCUGAGGAGCGAAAGCGUGGGGAGCAAACAGG